AUCCUUGAUGUACUCAUAACUUUGUGAUAUUGAAACAUGAGCGUUUAUUAGAAGUGGAUUUAUUUUUGAAAAUGAAUUUUAAAGAGAUAAUGCUUGGAUUUUAUCGACAGAUGUCACGAAUUUCAAAUUAGUUUGGUUUUUGUAAUAAUGUUAAAUUUAGGGCCUCUGCAAGUUGAAGCCUCACUUGAUAGAAGUAUUGGAUGUUAUAAAGACUAUAAAAACCGAGUGCUGAGUGGAAAACAGUACAAAACUAGACCCAAACGGAAGAAAGGAAUGUAAACAGUUUUGUCAAGGUUUCAGAUAUUUUGGUACCGAGAGUGGGGAAGAGUGUUUUUGCGGAAAUAAAAUAAGGUAUUGUAAAAAGACAGCACAUUGUACCUACAAAUGUAGAGGUAACCCGGAUGAAUACUGUGGUGGUGAUUGGCAAAUUAUGAUAUACGUCACAAAGUCAUAUGAAAAUACGUCGACAACAUCAUCUACAGAAAUAAGUGCGAGUACACAUCACGUGACUGAGACCAGCAAAAGUACCAGUUCACAGUCGAGUGUAAGUCCAGUGAUUGAGACUAGCAAAAGUACCAGUCCACAGUCGAGUGUGAAUCACGUGACUGAAACUAGCGAAAGUACCAGUCCACAGUCGAGUGUAAAUCACGUGACUGAGACUAGCAAAAGUACCAGUCCACAGUCGAGUGUGAAUCACGUGACUGAGACUAGCAAAAGUACCAGUACACAGUCAAGUGUGAAUCACGUGACUAAGACUAGCAAAGUACCAGUCAACAGUCGAGUAUUAGUCCUAUCAUUGAGACAGGAAGUACCAGCAAAAGCCAUCAACAAAUCAGGAUACUUUAUCUACACUUAAACCAGUGAGGAAAACGAACACAGGCGAUGACAAAACUUCUGUUUCCUAUUUGUAUAUUUUAUUGCCACUGGGAAUAUCGUUAUAGCGGUGAUAUUGGUUAUAAUUAUUUGUAAGAGGCGGCUCCGUUGUAAGAAAGAUUCUGAUCCAGUAGCUUCAAAUAGUGUGGUGUACGCUGCACCACACAGCACGGCAUUCCUUACUGCUUUUCAUGAAACCGAAUCUGAGCAUACAAACGCAAUGAGGUCUGGAUAUGUUAAUGAUGCCAACACUGGUAAUGAAGUUAAUGACAGAGCUGGAAAUUAUACGGAAGAAUCGGAGGAUUAUAAUGUGAUCAAUCUCAGAUCAAAUAAUAAGACUGUUCACAAUGAUUCAAAUGACAAUUUGCAGGAACAGAAUGCUUGCUCGCCAGGUGACAGUAAUACGAUCUACAAUAAAUUAAAAUUAGUUAACAGUGGAAAUCAAAAUAAAAGUGAGCUAUUGUAUGAUCAAACGGAUAAAGGAUCGUUAGAGAGUAAUGCUAAGAGACACUCAAUACACAAUGAUACAGAAUAAUUCCAAGGAUUCGAUGAAAAUAAGAAAAAAAAGUGUUAAAGACAACAUUUAUGCUAAAGAGAGGGAUAUAGUUUUUCACACAAAUUUGAAAUAGCGGUUCGACUGUUGUUGAAAUAUUGCACAGUGGUUAAAUGUAAUUGCAUUUAACAACUCGGUUUACGUAAAAUAGCACAACAGUAACAAGUUACUUAUUUUCUAGUAAAACAAUGGUUCAACUGUUUUAUUUUAAUAGCUGUUUGUUUGUUUCAUUUUACGCCUUUUCCUAACUACCGUCAUAUGCUUUGUAAAUUUGUUGUCCUUUUUCCUUUAAGAAGAAAACCUUACAAAUAUCAGUCUUUGUAAAGGCAAAUGUUUCUAUUCAUUUCAAAGCUGAGAGAAAUACUAAGAUAUGUUAUUUUUACCUUAUAGUAAAAUUAAGAGGGGAUGAUAAUGUAAUUUCUUAAAAUACCCGUUACUGACAAAACAUAUUAAAGAAUUUUUUGAUGGUCUUGCGAGUUUUUUGAUGAUUUAUGUCAACUGAAAUAAUGAAACUGCUGAAAUGGAAAAGUGACUAUAAUAUCGCCAUCGUUUUGAGCUAUCUUUGUUGAGCUAUAUGUUUAAAUACAGGCUUGCGAUAUAGACAUCAUAUUUGUAUAACUUUAGGAUUAUAUUGUUUAACACUAAGAAAGAAAAUCUGUCAGAGUAUUUUACCAUUUUAGUAUCUGAUUUGAAAGAAUCGAAAUGAAUGUUCAGCAAUAUUGAGGUAUAUAUACCGUCAAAUAGGGUUUGAUUAAACAAUGAUUUACUGAAAACAUCCUCAGCAUGAAUCAAAAAGAUAAAGUUGUUCAGUAAACGAUGAGAUUACCUAAGAUUAAUUAUAAAAUUGUAAAUUGGUCAUUAAACACCUGCUAUUCAUGUACAUGCAUGUUUUUGUUAUUGUAAUUGUUGAUAAUUGUUAUGCUAAAAUAAAGAAAGACAACUCUUGUCUAAAUAAAUUCCAAAAUGUAAA